UGGUCUGUUUGCGGUUCUAACCUAGGUCCCUUAUCGGGAUCGGGGACCGUGCAUGGUGGGCAGUUUGACUGGGGCGGUCUCCUCCUAAAGUGUAACGGAGGAGUUCGAAGGUACGCUAGAGACGGUCGGAAAUCGUCUUGAUAGUGCAAUGGCAUAAGCGUGCUUGACUGUGAGACUGACAAGUCGAACAGGUACGAAAGUAGGACAUAGUGAUCCGGUGGUUCUGUAUGGAAGGGCCAUCGCUCAACGGAUAAAAG
rnacentral:rRNA from 1 species